rnacentral:lncRNA from 1 species
AAAUUGAUUGCAACAUUGUUUAAACUUGUUUUUGAACUUCUGAAAGUGGUUAAUAUAGUGUGCAUUCUGAGCAUAUACAUUGACAACAAUUCUGCAGUUGAGUGUGUAUUUUGUUGGUCACUCAAGGAAGCCUGAGCCAGUGGUCUUUGAAACUAUAAUUGUGGCUAAGAGUGAUUAAUUUCUUAUUUUCCUUUGGAUUUUUUCUGAGUUGAACCAUGUUUAAUUUCCUUUGGCAAAAAAUUUGAUUAAGUUGAAAAGUUGAUUAGGUGAUCUGUUGAGAAUUGUGACUGAAAAUAGCAAGUUCUAAAGUGUCAUCCAAAUCAGAUUGGGCUAUCAAAUUGUGAUUAAAAAAAAAUCAAAGAGAACUGGUGCAAUUCACAAUAGUAUGCACUGUUUCAGUGAAAUAUCUCUGCCAAAAUCAGAUAUACUUUUUUUCAUUCAUAACUGGUUCAACUUAAAUCAUUUUCUUGUGUUUUAAUCUGUUCUAGAGCUAUUCAUAGGUUCUGUUUGAGUGCCAGCUGUUCUAAAUAGCUUGUUUUUUUAUUUGCUUGUCUUCUUGGCUGUCUUGGUUGUGUCUACAUCAAGUAAACUCUGAUUUGUUGUUCAUAAUUAAAGCUUUUUCUUGCUUUUGUAAUUUGGUCUAGUGUUGUUUUGAGUCUGUUGUUCUGUGGUGCUGUCAUUUCUGUGCUUUAGUAGUUGUCCUGUUUGGUUCUGUCCAUUAUUUUGAUCUUUGCUUAGCCAUUUCCUUUCAUGACUGAGAAGCACUUUCACUCUGGUUUUUUUGGAAUUUUGAAAGAAGGUUUGUGUGCUUGGUAGCAUCUUAG